rnacentral:rRNA from 1 species
CGUCGAUGGUUGUUUUGGAUUUGUCUUCGUCUUCUCUCCUCUUACUAUAAAUAGCAUCUCCUUUGCCCGUUUGUUCCCCAUUCCACUGCCUUCCAUUUCCUUCCUCUUGUUCUUUCUUGCCCUGGCCAUGGUUGCUUCUGCUUCUGUUCGCUAUGUGCGGCGCCGUCGGGGUCGUCCUCCUGGGAUUCGGGCCUCCGUUAAUGCAUGUGUUCGUCGUACUGGCGAGCCUGUUCCUCCUGCUGAUUCAUCGUCAGUGACACCAGCCGUUGCUAUGUGUCGUCAGUCCGCUGGAGUUCAUUCAGGGAGGCGUUCCCGCUCCGCAGCGGCUCGCCAGCCGCUCUGUUCUCGCCGGCCUGGUGUACAGUGUUCUGACUCCGAAUAGUUUCUCCAUGGAGAUUUCCAUAGCCGUCGCCGGGAGAUUUCGUUAGGGAAGCGGCCUGUUGACUCUACUGUUGAUUCUGUUAUUAGUUGUGCUCCUUCCUUCGUGGGUCAUGGCUUUCCAUAUGUUGUUCGUCCUGCCGGUGUGCCACCUAGUACUUUAUGUUGUUCUUUUUCUUUUAAUCCAGUCCGCUUAGUUGUUCGCCUUCCUCUCUCUUCUGCUAUUCAUUUUCUUCAUUGUAAGAUGCGGCGGUUUUGUUUGGCCUCUGUUGCUCUCCUGCUGGUUGGCCUCGAAGAUCACUGUUCUCAGCCGAAGCUGUUCGGCCAUGUGAGUUUUUGUUGUUUUUUGAUGUGGUAUGUGAGGGAGUCCUGGAUUAGGGGGUAUUCGGACAGCCGAACUAUAUACAUCGUCCGGACUAUCGAAGCGUGAAGAUACAAGACUCAAGACUUCGGCCCGUGUCCGGAUGGGACUCUCCUUUGCGUGGACGACAAGCUUGGCGAUCCGGAUAUUAUGUUUCCUUCCUUGUAACCGACUCCAUGUAAACCCUAGCCCUCUCCGGUGUCUAUAUAAACCAUAGAGGAUGGUCCUUAGAAGGCCGAUCACAAUUAUAAUCAUACCAUCAUAGGCUAGCUUUUAGCGUUUAGCCUCUACGAUCUCGUGGUAGAUCUACUCUUGUACUACUCAUAUCUUCAAUAUUAAUCAAGCAGGAAGUCGGGUUUUACCUCCAUCGAGAGGGACCAAACA